AGUGAACGCUGGCGGUAGGCCUAACACAUGCCAGUCGAACGGCAGCACAGUAAGAGCUUGCUCUUACGGGUGGCGAGUGGCGGACGGGUGAGGAAUACAUCGGAAUCUACUUUUUCGUGGGGGAUAACGUAGGGAAACUUACGCUAAUACCGCAUACGACCUACGGGUGAAAGCAGGGGAUCUUCGGACCUUGCGCGAUUGAAUGAGCCGAUGUCGGAUUAGCUAGUUGGCGGGGUAAAGGCCCACCAAGGCGACGAUCCGUAGCUGGUCUGAGAGGAUGAUCAGCCACACUAGAACUGAGACACGGUCCAGACUCCUACGGGAGGCAGCAGUGGGGAAUAUUGGACAAUGGGCGCAAGCCUGAUCCAGCCAUACCGCGUGGGUGAAGAAGGCCUUCGGGUUGUAAAGCCCCUUUGUUGGGAAAGAAAAGCAGCAGGUUAAUACCCCGCUGUUCUGACGGUACCCAAAGAAUAAGCACCGGCUAACUUCGUG
rnacentral:rRNA from 1 species